GAUUUGCAGGGCCUCCAGGGAGACAAGGACCUGCAGGUGAAAAAGGAAUCAAAGGCUCGGCAGGAGAUCCAGGCACUGAUGGAGAAAAAGGACAAAGAGGUAAGUUGUGUACUUAUAGUAAAUUAUUUGAGAAGACUUCAUUGUAUUGAUUUAAACUUCAUCAUAUUGAUUUUGCUAUUAAUUCUAAGGUGACCAAGGAUCAAUUGGGUUGCCAGGAAUCAGAGGCCCAGCUGGGCCACCUGGUGAACCUGGACCUCCAGGAGUACCAGGGCUUCAAGGACCACCAGGUAAUUAAUGGAGUUUAUGAUAUCUUCUUAUUCCCAAAUUGUAUAAAUACUAGUGUAAUAUGUAACACCAUGCAAAAAUGAAAUGCCAACAUUAAGAGUAUUUAUUUCCUUGCAUAUAGGAAUUGCAGGAAUUCCAGGCCAGCCUGGCAUUAAAGGUUUUUAUUUAUGCUUGACUAUACGUUAAUUAAGCAAUAGCUUUUUUUGCAUGCAAUAUUGUAUUGUCUUCAUAUGAGAAAAUUAAGAAUAAAAUCCAAAAUGUGAUUUGUGUCAUUUUUGUUUAAAAUAUAUUACAGGUGACACUGGAGAACCUGGCAGAGUUAUUAAUGCUGGUAAGCCAGAAUUUGACAGAAAAUGUUGACUUGCACACACACACACACACACACACACACUAUAUUAAAAACUGAUUUUAUACAUGCUUUGAAUCAGCAGUGGGAUCUAGCUCUAUAGCAAUCCCUGGACCACCUGGACCCCCUGGACCAACUGGACAAACUGGAGCUCCAGGAUUGUCAGGUGGGUCUCUGAUUUGACUGAUAUCAUGGCAGGAGAAUUUAUUUUGUUGGAGUAUUCUGUUGUGCUUUUUUGUCUGAUUGAUGCGUUUUGUCAUUAUAGGUCCUGUUGGCCCUGCUGGUCUUCCUGGACAACCUGGUCCUAAAGGUGAAAAAGGUGAUCAAGGAGAAGCUGGAAUCUCAGUGGAAACCAGGGAGACAGUCAGCUCCACUAGAUCUGAGAGACAGUUCGGCUCUUCCGCAUCAGGUUCCUCCCAGGUUGUUCAGGGUCCACCUGGACCACCUGGUCCACCAGGGCCUCCUGGACGCCCAGGAGACUCCAGGCCUGGACCACCAGGAGAACCAGGUCAACCAGGAUAUGGAAGACCUGGACCAAGAGGAGAGAAGGGAGAUAGAGGAGAACCUGGCAGUUUUGUGCCCAACUCUGGGACCUAUUUCGCUGGACCACCAGGACCACCUGGGCCUGCAGGACCUAAAGGAGACACAGGAGCCCAAGGACCAAGGGGAUACCAAGGUAUCUUACUAGAACAGACAAAAAAGCAGAUAAUAAUGUCUCUCAGAUUCUGACCUCCCUCAUGUUCUCACACCAUGCCUGUGUUAUGCUUUCUAGGGGCGCAAGGUCAGCCUGGCCUGCCUGGAAGACCAGGCGGAUCUGGAGAUGUCUCUAGAUGUAUGUUAAAAUCUUUUUGGCUCUAAACAAUAAUAUUUAUUAUAUUAAAACUUUCUUGGCCAGUUGUCUCUGAAAUAUAACUAUAAAAACUAUAAAUAUAACAGCAGGCUGAAUGAUGUCUCGUCGAUGUUAAAUUGAUGUUAUGUUUGAUCUUUGUAGACAAUGGUUAUGGUCCUCCUGGGCCACCUGGGCCUCCAGGGCCACCGGGCCCACAGGGCCAGAAAGGUAUAUCAAAUUAAAUCAAAUAAAUCUCUAUAAUAAAUUUGUAUGAAUGUGACA
ensembl:lncRNA